UGACAUCUUAAAAAUAUAUAAACUAGGAUAUCUUACUGUUUGAUGCAUACAAAUGCAUAAAAAGGAGUAUAAAGAAUGACGUCUCCACUCUUUGAAAACAACAGCAUUUGUCAAACUGUUUCUAAAUUUCAAUCCACAAGUUCUGUAGGAUGGGUUUACAGCUAAACUUCCUACACUAAUUCCUACAAAUAUUUUUGUGGUAAUCACUGCCCCAAUCACCCUUGCCAUUUGUGUUAUAUGCAGAAUUGUGGAAAAAAAAUAAAAGUAGCUCAGUAUAGAGGCUAAUAAUUCAACUGCUCUCUGAUUUUAAUUUCAUAUGUCGUUCAGGGGCUGAAGCACUGCAAUAUUUGCAUUUGGCAAAGCUGGAGGAACUCCAAGAAACAAUUGUGUCCCUGUUGGUGCAUUAAAGAAUGAGAGGCAUUGGACAGGUGGGAUUUGGUCUGUGGAUGUGAUCCCUGGCUCUGCUACACCCUGGGCAUGUCCUGCCUGGGCUGUUUGGAGAGAUGUUCAGGUCUGCAUCAAACACUGCAACACCGAACAGCCCUAAAGGAUGGACCUGUGGCAACCAUGGAAGAUGCUACAGAGGCUGCUCAGAGUGGUGUCACCAAUCAGAUCUCCUUGUAGCUGUCGGCAGGCUGCCCUGGGCUGUGUCCCUGGUGCCCUGCAGCAGUGACCAAGCUUCCCUGCCCACCUCCAUUGCCAGCCCACCUUCACCUAGACAGGAUUCCUGUUGGCAAGCAUGAUGUGUAACUAAUGAUGCAAACCAGAGGUGCAGUGUAAUAAACCAGUGUGUUGCUCACACCACACCAGCAAUGUUAAAUGUUAGCAAUGUUAAAUGCCUCCAGGCUGCUCUUCAAGUGCAGGGGCGGGCCAGGACAGAACUACUGAGGAGAGGAGGGAGAAACCCCAUCUCAUGGAUGGGCUGCUGGAGUUUCCUUGUUUUCUGCCACGUUUAAAGGAUCAGCUGGCUGAUGUCAUGGGCUUCCCUGUGCAAAAGCUAGGUCAGAGAAAUCUGGGAUGUGUCAUAAGAACUUUAAGUGGUGAGACUUGCUUACUGAUGUCACCAUGGCAUGGCUGGCUGAGCAGCUCAGAGCCUGCUGUGAGACAGGGCUGGGGCUUGGCUUGAAGGCAGCACAGCUCGGGCCAGUGGUGCUGGCUGCUUGCUGAGGGUUAGCAGAGGGAGUCAUUGAGAUACCCUGCCCUGAGACAGCUCAGGGCUCUGAAAAUGCUGUAGGUGACCUUAAUUUUGAUUUGGGGUGUGCAGUAAUGAGCAAGCAGUGUGAUGAAUGUGUAAAGCUGACAGAAGGCACUGGCGUCCGUAAAGAAAUAGGAUGUGCAAGGUCAGGAAAGGUGUGCAGGGUGAAACGAUGUUUCAGAGGCAGUGAGCGUGCCAGGCUGACUCAUGAGCUGAACUGUGCAAUAAUCACAGGUAAUUAUUGCACACCAGCCAGGAGAAGGAUUUGCAUACACACCACGCUGGACCACAGGGCCCAUUUGGGCUCUGGCACACUCUGCUCACAGCUCAGAGCAGACAGGCAGAGACAUGAGGAGCCAUUUCCAAACACAGCCAAUAUUCUGUUUGUUUCCCCAUCCAGCUUCCAGACAUGACAUGGAGUCAUGAUGUGCAAGAGUGAGGAGACAGGGAGCUGGUGCCUUCAGAGCAAUGAAGGGCAGAUGAGUGCCUGUAUUCACCCCCUCAAAACAUGUCUGCACUACAGGAAUGUGUUUCUGAAUCUAUUGUGAGGAAUUCUCUUGUAAGCCAGUGUAUUUUUUACUGAAAUAAAAACAAUGGAAAUCCUGAAAAAUAAUGAAGCCCUGUUGGACAGGGCUAAGGGGCAAGGUAGCACACCUGCCUCGGUCUCCUGUAACAGAGAAAUCCCAAGGGAUUCUCAUCAUCCCAGGAGGCAGGUUUUGAGGCUGUGUCCUUCCAAUAGGAAAAUAACUGUAGUACCUCCACCCUGGUGCAGUUAGAGGCCUUGUGUGAUUUGGGUUUAAUGUCCCCUUCCUCUCCCUUGACCUUGCUCAGAUAGGUGGCUGGGUUGGUGCUGAUGGCAGUGAGGGCUCAUGUCAGCCUGUAAAGACACAGCACAGAUGAAUUAUAUCCCAAAGUGGCUCUCUGAAUGCAGAGAAGAGCACAGAUGUUCUGUGUGCCUGCGAACAGAGUCCUUGAAAGCAGAGCAGAUGUGCAAGUCCUGUGAUGGAGGGCAGGUAAGUGUUGUCAUGCCUGGUAGGGGCUGCUGGAACCUCCUGCCCCCAUCCCCACAUGCAGCUGCCAAAACCCAGCAGGUACACACAGCUCUUGCUGCGGAUCUGGGGUUGCAUCCAUCAGAACCUCUAACACCAUUUCUCUCCCCAGCCAGGCUUUAGGAAAUGUCUGCUGCAGACAUGUUCCUGGGAGGUAACCAGCCUUUGUCAGUGUCUCACACGGCAUUCCUGCUGGUGGUGCGAGCGGGUCGGGACACGAUGGCUGCGUCGUGUCCUGGCUUCUGCUCUGACUGAGAGCAUCAGUGUUCACUCGGUGUCAGCUCAGGAGUCCCCGCUGCCCUGGGGCUGAAACCCCCGAUCUGGCACAGGCAUAGCUCUCUGCUCAAGCUCAAAACAGCCUCGGAGCAGCCCUCGGGAGAGAGGGAAGUUUUGAGCCUUGAUUUUCCAGCCCGUGACUCGCAGUCCUGCGGGGCUGACGCGCCUCUGGAGCCACCGGCGCUUCCUCACCACAGCAGAGCGGCAGGGACACAGGUACUCACACUGCCAGGGGAACAGGGAGAGGAAGGCCAGGCCAGGCUCCUGCUUGCUUCAAAGCACACUGGGUUUGUAAAUACAUUUUUCUUUAUGGUUGGACAUGAGGAAUUCCAGUGACUUGCAGCUAAGGGUACCCCCCAAACCAUUCCAUCCCAUUUGUUGAAUGUAUAAAGCACCCAGCUGCCAUUUUUAAUGCAUACCAAGUUCUAGCAAAGGAUAGAAAAUAUUAGAGGUAAAAAAGUAACUUAUAUUAAUUCUUGUACCAGUAUAAACCUCUUUGUGGUGGAAAAGGUGUUGGAUGCAAGGUUAUCGAAGACACAAGCUCUCUGUUAACCAUUACAUGAUGUGAUGUUCUGGCUAAACUUACACCAGAUGACAAACUGCCCAAAACCAAAUGAUGCAAAGGCUAAACAUCACCAAAACAUGUAGAAGUCCAAACUCUUAGCCUACAGCAUCACAACAUAUAAAAUGGAUUACUCCUGUAUUACUUCUAGACAGCUUGGAGGAUGCUUUCCUUACUCCAAGAGAAACAAAGGCAUGAGGUGAAUAUGGCACCAGCACAAUCUGCAAUGCACACAGAGCCUCUGUGCUUAGGCUUUUUCUGUCCAGGGAAGAUCUUUCACCUUGCCAGCCACAUAACUUUCUCCUUCUGGGUCUUUGGGCAUUUCUUAGACAAUGAAUUGCCUAGGAGGCAGCACUUAAAAUUUAAUUCAGGAAGGGAAAGCAGUGCACAUGAAUGAUACAGACUCUACUAGCCCUUGUAGACCAUAUGAUUUAUACAUUCACUCAAACAGCAGUGAAUGAACAUUAUUAUAGCAGGCAAUAUGCUAUUGUGCUGUUACUUCUAUGCCUUGUCUUUUUAAUGAAAGGGUUUAUACCUUCAAAGUUAAUUAACUCAUUUCUCAAAAUCAUUUACACAUCUGCUCUGUUUCCAGUAAAACUUAGUUUCUUAACUUCUGAGUUACAUUAAAACAAAACAAACCUAAACUGAACGCCUCUUUAGACACGUUACUUCAUUUGUAAUGAGUUCAGAUGUGGAAUUGUUAAUGACAGAUUCCAUGGGCUGAAAUUUGGUGUGUCAUUUUGCACUGGUGGCUGCUGGAAGGACAGUCAGAUAAACAAUGGCCAUGAGCCUCUGUUGUACUCAGUGUCCAUCCCUGCUGCAAAGCAGGCUCAGUUUGGGUGUCUCUGGUGUGUGCCAGGGCCCUCCUGUCACUGGCAGACAGCAAGCUGGAGCUGAGGGCACCUCUGUCACCACAGCCCCUGUGGUGACACAACAGCAUGUUACUCCAGCUGACUGAGGGGCCUGUUUUGGUUCCUGCUGGCCAAACCCCUGGCUGCUGGCUGCUGUGGGGUCUCAGCCAAGCCCACUUCACCCCAGGCUUCUGCAGAGUUGUGUGCUUGUAAGCACAGCACUGGGAAUGGCAGCACUGGAGCAGAGCAAUGUGGGCAGGGCUGCCACUGCCCCUGCUGUGCCACACACGGGGAGCAGCCCUGCUUCCUGCUCCUGAUGGGCAGACAGAGUAUUUAAAUUAAAUUAUUACUUCAAUAACCCUUACGUUGUGUGGCAUGGCUUGGGAAGCAUUAAACUCAAGGUAAACAAAGAGUGUAGCACUCCAUCUGCUUUUAACAGCAACACGACUGUUUGGGCAGCACACAGAGCUGAGUACUGUUAGUAUUUACUGUAGAACACCUCAUGCCAAAUUUAGCCUACAAGCUGAUCACAGGCACCAGGUUUCAUUAUUUCAAGUGAUUUAUUCUUUUCUGAUGCGAAGAACACCUCUUCUGUGCACCAAAUGCUGCUUGUGAAGUCUGCUUUUCCACUUAAGAGAUGCUAAGCAGAAGCUAACCAAUGAAAUGAAGGUAAAUUUAAUUACAAAAACCAUAACGUUCUUCAAAACCAACAGCUCACUCUCUCUCUAACAAGGAAAAAUACAAAUAGAAACCCUUUGGCAAUGCUGAAGAAAUAUCUGGGGCUGAGGUGAAAGGGGCACAGCUUGACAAGUAUGCUGAAAGCUGAAUGUGGAUUACCCGUGAGUGCAAAAAUGAAUAAAUGUGUUUUAUUCCAUUAUAUUAAUGAAAUGGUUAAUUCAGUUGCUAUGGCAACAAGGAACAGCCAUGCUAAAAAGCUAAAGGGCCAUACAUAAUGCCAGAUACAAGGUCUCUCUAAUUCUAAAGCUGAUUUUCUUAGCCACAAUAAAAGUGAUGUGUAUUUUCAAUAUCAUCAGCUUUUGCAUCAAAUCCUCAAGCUAAUCCAAUAAAUAAGCUAGUAGCAUAAAAUAGCAAAUAUGUUGGCACCUCAUAAAACUUAUGCAAGGGGUUUACCUAUGCACAGCAAUACAAAAGGAGGCACAGAGUGCAGUGUGGGAUGCUUUAAGGAGACUGCUCUCUGUGUGAUGGUGAGGCAGCAAAUGUGUUACAAUGGGCAGCUCCUACAGUCAGGGGGCAGGUGCCUGCAGGAGCAACCACUGCAGCACUAGCCUAGACAUCAUCCUGAUAGCUAUUUCACCUUUGGGAAAAUAGACUUUAUAUUCUUUUCACCUGCAUUUCCUGUGAUUUUGAUUAAAAAGAAUAAUUCCAUAAGGCUUCAAUGAGAAAUCCUGCAGCGCUUGCUUUUGUUUGACAUGAAAGCCGUGGACAGGGUGACCCCUGGUCUUGCCAACAGCCAGAGAACAGACUACAAUUACUGAAGCCUAUGCAAAGGAAAGAGGAGUGCCCACUCUGCCCUUCAGAGGAGCCUGGGGCAGCCCCUGCACAACCAGGGCUCCCUGGGGAAGGAGCUGCUGGGCAGGGUCAGGGUGCUGCCCAGCCCCAGUGCUUCUACCGGGCUGGAGCCCCUCCCCAAGCCCAGGACACUUCCAUUCCUUUGGCUGCCUUUUGUUACAGUGAGAUUUAUCAAACACCACCUCACUCGCUCUGCCUGGGACAAAUAAAAGUCAAUACAGCACACUCACAGACUAUAACAGAAUUCACUGGCUCCCCUUGUUGAACUCAGACUUACAAAAUUUGGCCUCGUACACCUGCAUAAGCAACAUGGGUGACUUUUAUCUGCAGGCCAUCUGGUUUGCGUGAUAUUGGCAGUUAUGUUCCUGAGAAACAAAAUCUCUCAACAAUUGAAUAUAAAGCUUUCAGUCCUGAGGCCUAAAAUUGUCUGCAACAGGCAGAAGUAAAAGCUGUGAUGGUAAGUAGUCUCUAGACUAAACAGGUGAGAACAAUGUCCUUUAGGAUCAUGAUUAGCUCCAGUCAGUGGCAUGUGAUUCUAAUCAGCAGUUGUGAGUGUGAGCUGGCGACUGGAGGCAUUUGACACUGUUUGCACCUUGCUGAAGUGCAAUAAAGAGAGCUCACUACUGGAGGCAGAAACACUGAGAAGCAACGUUAGCUAUAUCACUAUGCUGAAGCAAAAUGUUUGGUCUCACAGAAAAACAAGGCAGAUCAAUAGUUGCCUCUGUUUUAGUCAACUUAUAUGAAAAUCAUUUAUUAAGAUUCUCCUGAACCUUACACAGUACCUCAAACCCAGAUGAGAAACAGCUUUGAACUGUUUGCUGUCCUUUAGGGUGCUGGCUGGCAAUAUGGAAAGGCCCGUGCAGUGCAGACAGAUGAGUUCUGUGUAGCCUGCCCCUCUAGAAGGCGAUGCUGCAUGGCCCUGCACAGAAAGCCCUGCCUUAAGGUGCAAAGGCAGCUCCCUGCAGAGCACGAGGAACCUUGCUGCACCUCUUGAGGGUACACGGGCAGGCUGGCAUUUCUACAGCACCACAAGAAACCCCAGCGGUUCAGAGGUUUGCUAGCAUUUGUCAAGGCAUAGAUAAACUGAAGGGCUACGGAGUUCAGCUGCUGAGCCACAGCAGAAAGGAUUUUGUUCUGCUCAGGGCUGAGUGCAAGCUAAUUCCCAUACGCUGCACCCAAGCAGGUGUGCCAUGGAAAAGCUUAAUAACUUGCAGUUCUUUUAAAGUAAAGGAACAAUUGCAUUUCCUUGUGGUAACUUCAGUGUGCUCAAGCUAG